rnacentral:rRNA from 1 species
AUCUUUAUAAAUAAAAUCUGCUCAAUGAAUUUUAAAUAGCCGCAGAAUUUUAACUGUGCUAAGGUAGCAUAAUCAUUUACCUUUUAAUUAAAGGUCUGUAUGAAUGAUUUUACACUUAAAUUAUUUUUUUAUUAAUUUAUAUUUAAAUUAAAUUAAGAAUAAAAAUGUUCUUACUUAAUAAAAAGACGACAAGACCCUAUUGAACUUAACUCAAGUUAAGCUGGGGAAGCUAAUUAAAUAUAAUUUUAAUUUCUAAAUUUAAAUAAGUUUCUAGAAAUUCUAAAUGAACAAGUUACCAUAGGGAUAACAGCGUAAUAAUUUUUUAAAGCUCUUAUUAAAAAGAAAGAUUACGACCUCGAUGUUGAAUUAAAUUAACUUUAAAACGCAAUAGUAUAAAAGUAGGUCUGU